rnacentral:rRNA from 1 species
AUACGUAGGGAGCGAGCGUUGUCCGGAAUUACUGGGCGUAAAGGGCGCGUAGGCGGCGCUUCAAGUCGUCUGUCAAAUGGGAGGGCUUAACCCUUUUUCGCAGACGAAACUGGAGAGCUUGAGAAGCAGAGAGGCAAACAGAAUUCCUGGUGUAGCGGUGAAAUGCGUAGAUAUCAGGAAGAAUACCAGUGGCGAAGGCGGUUUGCUGGCUGCAUACUGACGCUGAAGCGCGAAAGCCAGGGGAGCAAACGGGAUUAGAUACCCCGGUAGUCCUGGCAGUAAACGAUGUAUGCUGGGUGUGAGACUAGCGAUAGUUUCGUGCCGAAGUUAACGCGAUAAGCAUACCGCCUGGGGAGUACGGUCGCAAGAUUGAAACUAAAAGGAAUUGACGGGG